rnacentral:lncRNA from 1 species
CAUUAUUUCAUAAAAGCAAGGUCAUAUUAACACAAAAAAUAAUAGGAAAAUCAUGACCUUAGAAUGAAGGAUGCUUCUUCACAGAAAGGUCUUUACAACUUCCACAUUUGUACGCACAUGCGUUGGCCCAGGUUUCUCAUUUGCCCUCAAGUCGCAGAGUGGUCCUAGAAUGUAAGCUCCGCGGGGUGCCUGGGAGCCUGUGAGAUCACAGCUCUGGCCACUGGGGAUCCCUGGCAACCAGAACCCGAGGGAUGCCCCUCCGAUGCUGCCUGAGGCCCUCCCCAUCUGCUCUCAGUUUGGGAUGGCCCCCUCCUCUGAAACAGGAUGUGCACACGUGGGCCACAGCCCUAAGGACUCCUGACGGACCACAUAGCCCACACCUGGCCCUGCUCAUGGCUGUUCCACCCACCCCUCCUUAUUCUGGAGCAUAUCAGGGAAAGAAGAGUUGAUGACAGAUUGCCUUCACCCUCGGCGCACAAAUAAAGCUACGAUGCCAACUUUGCAGAUGUAAUAAAUAAAUAAAUAAAGUAAGUAGAUGACUAGUUGCCUAGGGUUGGGGGAGGGGCAAUGGGGAAUGAUUGCCUAAUAGAUAUGGGGUUUCCUUUUGGCAUGAUGAAAACAUCCUAAAAUCAGAUAGUGGU